UAGGGAAUCUUCGGCAAUGGACGAAAGUCUGACCGAGCAACGCCGCGUGAGUGAAGAAGGUUUUCGGAUCGUAAAACUCUGUUGUUAGAGAAGAACAAGGACGUUAGUAACUGAACGUCCCCUGACGGUAUCUAACCAGAAAGCCACGGCUAACUACGUGCCAGCAGCCGCGGUAAUACGUAGGUGGCAAGCGUUGUCCGGAUUUAUUGGGCGUAAAGCGAGCGCAGGCGGUUUCUUAAGUCUGAUGUGAAAGCCCCCGGCUCAACCGGGGAGGGUCCUUCGACACUGGGCGCCUUGAGUGCCGACGAUGAGCGUGGACUUCCAUGUGUAGCGGUGAUAUGCGUAGAUAUAUGGAGGAACACCUGUGGCGCAGGCGGCUCUCUGGUCUGUAACUGACGCUUUGGCUCGAAAGCGUGGGUAGCUACCAGG
rnacentral:rRNA from 1 species